rnacentral:rRNA from 1 species
GACAGAGGAUGCAAGCGUUAUCCGGAAUGAUUGGGCGUAAAGCGUCUGUAGGUGGCUUUUUAAGUCCGCCGUCAAAUCCCAGGGCUCAACCCUGGACAGGCGGUGGAAACUACCAAGCUGGAGUACGGUAGGGGCAGGAGGGAAAUUCCGGGUGGAGCGGUGAAAUGACGCAGAUAUCAGGAGGAACACCGGUGGCGAAGGCGGGUCUCUGGGCCGUAACUGACGCUGAGGAGCGAAAGCUAGGGGAGCGAAUGGG